UUCAAUCACUCACUCAGUUCUUUUUCUCUCCCUCAUCUUCAGCGCUUCUUGUUCACGCCGCCUCUAAACAAAACAACCUCAGAUCAGAUCAUCAUGGCUUCUGAUGAUCACCAACAUCAACAAAUACACGAUCGCACAAAGAUUUAUAAUACCUUGCUUCUCUUCGUCUCCGUUGGGGUAGAAACCCUUCAAGGCUUUACCACUCGAUGCAACCAUCCACGGAUCACAGAAUCAGUGCUUUGCUUUACUUAGGAAAUGCAACCUCUCAUUCUCUGUUGAUGUACCUUGAAUCGAGGCCAAAACAUGGGCAAAAGUACUUAAAAAACAUGGGCAAGGAAUUUGAUGAGGCAAAACAAAAAGGCUAAGAACUAAGAAGAAUCCAAUUUCAUGACUAAUUAUGGGGCGAAGCCAAAUUGAGAGGUGGGUGUGCAAUUGCACUUUCAGCCCCUCAAAUGAAAUGACCAUAAAAAUGUACAUAUUACUCUAGUGUUGCUGUCAAGAAUGACCAUGAGAUUCAUAGUAGAUGUUAUCGAGACAGUACUAUUUACAUAGAUUCGUUUGAGAAUGUAUAUCGAUCAACUAAGUCACUCGCUAUUCUCCUGUACAAGCCGGCGACUCAAGGAGAGAAAAAAGGCAAUAUUGAAAGAGGAGAUGCAAAAAUUGAGCUAAUCCAGCUUGAAUUUUCCAAACUGUGUAAUGAAUAAACAAUGCAUAAGAAAAGGUACCUUGAAUCGAGGCCAAAGCAUGGACAAAAGUGCUUAAAAGGACAUUUAGAAGAGAUAGGAAUUUGACUGCGGGGAAAACAAAAAGGCUAAGAAGAAAUUUCGUGACCAAUGGUGAGUUUUAUAUCCAUAUGACCGUCUAUGAAUCAGAUUUUGAAUUUGGUUGAUGGUAAAACAUAAGACAAGAUAAGAUGUACAUUUGAAAUGAAAAUUUGACUUGGUACUGUAUUUGAUACUGUAUUUGAUACCAAAUGAAUGUCGUGCCUCAGCCAGCCAAACAAAGCGUAGAUGAUGAUUAGCUUCCAAUUUAAGCAUGUAUUUUCUGGAAUAUCAUUGUGUAUUUUAAUGUGGUCUAUCAAUUAUAAGGAACUAGUAAAAUCGACAAUAUUCCGUAAAUAAAGGAUGAGAGUGUUUUAAUUUUUAUUAGAAUUAUUUUGAAGCAAUCAAUUAACAACUGAAAGAUAGAUUAGGUAGACGUCGUACCUGUGUUUCUUGCCAAAUGUUUAUUUGUGGGGAUAUUUCUUGUUUCAGCGCAACUCUUGAUUUUUUUUUGAAGCAUGCGCAACUCUUGAUGAUUAUCAUGUUACCAUUUGCUAGUCAUGUUUUUAUAAAGCCUGGAUUCUUGGUCCAGUGAGCUUGGUUAGCAUGGGUUUCAUCCAGAUGAUGUGGGGAAAUUUAAGAUGUUGGGUAGCAGAGUUUGGAUUAGGAGACUGGUUGUUGGCAUGUCAGUUUCCAAAGAUCCCACAUAGCGUGAGCUAUAUUGUGAAUAAGGUUUAUAUGGAUGGUUUUGUAACUUACAUUUCAUAGGCUGGUAGGCCUACAGUCUGCAGCUGUUUAUGGAUGUAAACGCUUUAGGUAUUAGAAUUUGAUAUGUAUGAUUUAGAUUCCCCAGCAAGUAUGAAUAUCAUGUUUCUCUAUAAAGCCUGGAUUAGGAGAGAUCCAGUGAGCAUGGUUAGCAUUAGCAGCACUUAUAGGAGUAAAUGCAGAAUUGAUUUCAUGCAUGUAAAUAAUGUGAGGAAAUUAUAAGAGGUAAAUAAUAGGAAGGCAGAGUUGGAAUUGUGUCUUAUAUCCAGCCAUUUUUACCUGUAAACUCCCAAAUCGUUAUGCAUACAGUACAUGUUCAUCGAAUAUGUUAGUCCCUUAAUUCCGUCCUAGACUGAUAUUCCUUUCAACUAUUCUACACUAUUUGUUGUUAGUCUCGUACUUCACACAUGUUCUUGAUUACAACAUUUCUUUCACUGGCAUGAGUGAUGAUAAUCUGUAGCUAGCUUUGCAUGGUUCUUGUGCAAUAAUGGUUCUUUAAGCUAACCUCUGUUGAUCUCUUGAUGUGCUUUUUGUUGGUAUCUGAUUUCAUUACAAUCUGAGAAUGCAAUGCAUAGUUUCGUAACUUGUCUUGGUUGUAAAAAUCGUAGUCAAGUAAAUUUCAUAGAAUUGGAAGUCUGAAUAGGAUACAAAACUAGAAUUUUCUCAUUAUUAAUCAGUAAACAUUGUUAGGACAACAAGGCAGAUUUCUGCCUCAUCGCAACACUAGAAUUUUCUCAUUAUUAAUCGUAAAUUGUUUUGUGUUGUAUGUGUGGUAGCGGAUAAGUGUUGUGCACUGAUUCCAUUUAAUAUAAGUCUUUUUGAAUCUUAGUAACACCUUCAUCAACUGUUGGAGAAAAAGAUAAUGGACCGCCCAAGGAAUGAUGUGAUGCCCUUCUAGCUACCACAUGCAUGCAGUUGUACUCACUUUAGUUGGUGAGGAGAUAAGAGAAAUAAAUAAUCCACUUCAAGUACAAUAGACGGCCCCUAAAGAGAAGAAAACAGUGGUCCCAUCGAUCAUUAAUUCACCUCAUAUAACCAUCUUAGACUAAUAUUGGACCUCCACAUAAAUCAAGAUCAUGUUGUUAUAUCGUUGUUCACUGUCUAUUGUGUUGUGCUUGCAUAUUUUUUUUUGGAACAACCGGGAUAGUAAGACUGGUAUAAUUUUGGGACAAAGGGGAAUGACUGAGAUUGGCGGCAGGGUGGACAGGAGAAUGAUCAAAGGUUUGGAUUCAUUGUCCCAUGUUUAACCCAUAUUAAUUGUCUCAUCUUUAAUAUAUUUCUAUUUUCAUUCUCUUUAGACUAGCUAAUUUUAAUAACAAGGCUGCUAAUAGAGGGUACUAACCACAUUUGCAAGGUGGGUGACUUAUUUGUACAAAAAAAAGGAUUCUGAGUAUUUGGUUUGAAAAAUCACAUCAAAACGGCAUAGUCUCGGGCAUUAUACAUUUCGGGUAACAAAAAAUGAAUCUAAUUCAAUUAAUUUUGUUACAGAACCGUGUUUGAUUAUACAUUUCGGGUAACAAAAAGUAAAAGUUUUUUUUUUUUUUAGGUAAGCAUAGUUCACAUUUAUUUACUAGACACUGGAAUCCACAAUUAUAUGUUAGUAGGCUUUUUAUCGAAGGUUAAAUAGGAAAAAUGAUAGAUUCAUUUUUUUGUAUUGUAUUUUAUCGAAGGUUUAUAUGUGCACUAACAAAAGUAUCGGUAGGCUCAUGGUCAAGAGCAACCAAUGGCGGCUGUUUUACAUUGUGAAUUUGUGAUAUCCAUUGGCUGGAGCUGGGUGAUAUACCAUAAAUAUGGUGUGCAUGGUGUACAUGACCGUGGCCAGCAUAUACCAUUGAGCAAGUGGACGUACUAAAGAAUUUCUUGGAGCGCACCUAUUACGUUCAAUCCAUUUACUAAACAAUUUCGGUUUAUUGUGAGUGGAUCUCAGGGAAAAGAAAAGGGUUUUGUUGCCUUCUCUAGUGUCAGCUUGGCUUACAAUCCACGCAAUUCACCCCACUACGAAGUUGUUUGCAUUUGGUUUACGAAACAAUCUCAAGAUGCUGACACCAAUAUUUAGAUCUUCAAUUGGAGAUAUACUCAUCUGACACGGCUACUUGGAAGCUUUCUGGAGAUGUUUUUUCUGCACCUCGUCGUAGCUUCCUCUAUAAAAGUGGAGUAUUUUGGAAAGGUUCGUUGCACUGGAUUGACCCAUCGAUAGAAGGGAAUUCUUUUUAUUUCAAUGUUGAUCAAGAAUUAAGAAUGAAAAUGCCAGACUACCGUUUUGUUCCUAAUGUAGAUGAUAAAAUGAUGGUUAGAUUCUUCGGGGAGUGUAGGGGUCACUUGCAUCUAAUUGUCAGCCCUGCUUCACUUUCUAGUUUUGAAGUUUCGGAAUUGGAGACCGACUACAUGGGAUGGAAUGUAAACUAUCAUGUUUCUCCCCAAGAAUUGAUAAUUCCACGCCCCCCUGACUUUGAUGUAUUGCUGGUAUAGGAAGUAGAAAGCAAUUCUUCGAAGAUUUUCUUAUGAUAUACAGGACAAGAGCUUCAAGGAAAUUCAUAAACUGGCACUAGGCCAUUCAAACCAGUUUGGUCGAUCCAAUUUUUCUUUUCAAUACAUAAUUGCAGGCUUAGGUGUGUUCCUUAUAUUAUGUUUUAUCUUGUACGAAUUAGAGAAGGUGCUUGUUGGACUUACAUGAGAAACAGUGAUGGUUGUUGUUGAUGUGUACAAGCUUACUAUCUUCAUGAGUUUAUUAUGCUAGUUGUUGCAUUAGCAUUUGAAUUCUCUUGUAUUACCGUCUGUGUAAAACCUCUACAAUAGUUUUUCUUCUUCAUGUAGCUA